AGUGAACGCUGGCGGUAGGCCUAACACAUGCAAGUCGAACGGCAGCACAGUAAGAGCUUGCUCUUACGGGUGGCGAGUGGCGGACGGGUGAGGAAUACAUCGGAAUCUACUUUUUCGUGGGGGAUAACGUAGGGAAAGUUACGCUAAUACCGCAUACGAUCUACGGGUGAAAGCAGGGGAUCUUCGGACCUUGCGCGAUUGAAUGCGCCGAUGUCGGAUUAGCUAGUUGGCGGGGUAAAGGCCCAGCAAGGCGACGAUCCGUAGCUGGUCUGAGAGGAUGGUCGGCCACACGGGAACUGGGACACGGACCAGGCUCCUACGGGAGGCAGCAGUGGGGAAUAUUGGACAAUGGGCGCAAACCUGAUCCAGCCAUACCGCGUGGGUGAAGAAGGCCUUCGGGUUGUAAAGCCCUUUUGUUGGGAAAGAAAAGCAGCAGGUUAAUACCCCGCUGUUCUGACGGUACCCAAAGAAUAAGCACCGGCUAACUUCGUG
rnacentral:rRNA from 1 species